rnacentral:rRNA from 1 species
UGGGGAAUAUUGCACAAUGGGCGAAAGCCUGAUGCAGCAACGCCGCGUGAGUGAUGAAGGCCUUCGGGUUGUAAAGCUCUGUCUUUUGGGACGAUAAUGACGGUACCAAAGGAGGAAGCCACGGCUAACUACGUGCCAGCAGCCGCGGUAAUACGUAGGUGGCAAGCGUUGUCCGAAUUUACUGGGCGUAAAGGAUGCGUAGGCGGAUUUUUAAGUGAGAUGUGAAAUACCCGGGCUUAACUUGGGUGCUGCAUUUCAAACUGGGAAUCUAGAGUGCGGGAGAGGAGAAUGGAAUUUCCUAGUGUAGCGGUGAAAUGCGUAGAGAUUAGGAAGAACACCAGUGGCGAAGGCGAUUCUCUGGACCGUAACUGACGCUGAGGCAUGAAAGCGUGGGUAGCAAACAGGAUUAGAUACCCUGGUAGUCCACGCCGUAAACGAUGAGUACUAGGUGUAGGAGGUAUCGACCCCUUCUGUGCCGCAGUUAACACAAUAAGUACUCCGCCUGGGAAGUACGAUCGCAAGAUUUAAAACCUCAAAGGAAUUGACGGGGGUCAUAGCUG